GACGAACGCUGGCGGCGUGCUUAACACAUGCAAGUCGAACGGAAAGGCCCUGCUUUUGUGGGGUGCUCGAGUGGCGAACGGGUGAGUAACACGUGAGUAACCUGCCCUUGACUUUGGGAUAACUUUAGGAAACUGGGGCUAAUACCGGACAUGAGCUCCUGCUGCAUGGUGGGGGUUGGAAAGUUUCUGCGGUUGGGGAUGGACUCGCGGCUUAUCAGCUUGUUGGUGGGGUAGUGGCUUACCAAGGCUUUGGCGGGUAGCCGGCCUGAGAGGGUGACCGGCCACAUUGGGACUGAGAUAAGGCCCAGAAUCCUACAGGAAGCAACAGGGGGGAAUAUUGCACAAUAGGCGGAAGCGUGUAGCAGCAGCGCCGGGAGCGGGAUGACGGCCUUCGGGUUAUAAACCGCUUUCGCCUGUGACAAAGCGUGAGUGACGGUAAUGGGUAAAGAAGCACCGGCUAACUACGUG
rnacentral:rRNA from 1 species